GAUGAACGCUGGCGGCGUGCCUAAUACAUGCAAGUCGAGCGAACAGACGAGGAGCUUGCUCCACUGACGUUAGCGGCGGACGGGUGAGUAACACGUGGAGAACCUACCUAUAAGACUGGGAUAACUUCGGGAAACCGGAGCUAAUACCGGAUAAUAUAUUGAACCGCAUGGUUCAAUAGUGAAAGACGGUUUUGCUGUCACUUAUAGAUGGAUCCGCGCCGCAUUAGCUAGUUGGUAAGGUAACGGCUUACCAAGGCAACGAUGCGUAGCCGCCCUGAGAGGGUGAUUGGACAGACUGGAUGUGAGACACAGCACAGACUCCUACGGGAGGACGCAGUAGGGAAUCUUACGCGAUGCGCGAGUGCCUGAUGGUGCAACGCCGCGUGAGUGCUGAAGGUCCUCGGCCCGGAAAACUCUGUUAGUAGGGAAGAUCAAAUGUGUAAGUACCUAGGCACGUCUUGACGGUACCUAAUCAGAAAGCUACGGCUAACUACGUG
rnacentral:rRNA from 1 species